rnacentral:rRNA from 1 species
AUUGAACGCUGGCGGCAUGCUUUACACAUGCAAGUCGAACGGUAACAGGCCGCAAGGUGCUGACGAGUGGCGAACGGGUGAGUAAUGCAUCGGAACGUGCCCAGUCGUGGGGGAUAACGCAGCGAAAGCUGUGCUAAUACCGCAUACGAUCUAUGGAUGAAAGCGGGGGACCGUAAGGCCUCGCGCGAUUGGAGCGGCCGAUGUCAGAUUAGGUAGUUGGUGGGGUAAAGGCCCACCAAGCCAACGAUCUGUAGCUGGUCUGAGAGGACGACCAGCCACACUGGGACUGAGACACGGCCCAGACUCCUACGGGAGGCAGCAGUGGGGAAUUUUGGACAAUGGGCGCAAGCCUGAUCCAGCAAUGCCGCGUGCAGGAGGAAGGCCUUCGGGUUGUAAACUGCUUUUGUACGGAACGAAAAGGUCUGGGUUAAUACCCUGGGCCGAUGACGGUACCGUAAGAAUAAGCACCGGCUAACUACGUGCCAGCAGCCGCCGUAACAC